GGGGCCGUUUAGGAUUCGACGCCGGUUGCGAAACUUUAGGUGCAUGCCGAGUUGGUAACAGAACUCGUAAAUCCACUGUUGCAACUUCUAUAGUUGCCAAUGACGAAACUUACGGCCAGGAAGAGUACGCUAUCGCUGCGUAAGCAGCCUUAGAUCCUGAGCUUCUGGUACCUUCGGGUCCAGCAAUCAUUAGGGGAUGUCCGUAAACCCAAAGUGAUUGUCAUAUAGAACGGAAUCGCCGUGCAGUACGUUGUGGACGAAGCGGCUAAAACUUACACAACUCGCCCAAAGCACCCUGCCCGUCGGGUCGCUGAGGGUUAACUUAAUAGACACGGCUACGCAUGUAGUACCGACAGCAGAGUACUGGCGGACGGGGGUUCAAAUCCCCCCGGCUCCACCA
rnacentral:tmRNA from 1 species